rnacentral:piRNA from 1 species
UUUGGGUUAAACAUUGCAAUU